rnacentral:rRNA from 1 species
UACAGAGACCUCGAGCGUUAUCCGGAUUUAUUGGGCGUAGAGGGUCCGUAGGGGGCUAGGUAAGCCAAAUGUAAAAUCCACCGGCUCAACCGGUGCUUGGCAUUUGGUACUGCCUGGAUAGAGCACGUCAGAGGUCAUUGGAACUCAUGGUGUAGGGGUAAAAUCCGUUGAUAUCAUGGGGAACACCAAAGGCGAAGGCAUUUGACUGGGGCGUUGCUGACCCUGAGGGACGAAAGCUAGGGUAGCGAAUGGG